ACAGUGGUCCAGAGCCCAUCUCAGAGGCCACAGAAGUCAGGGAACAACCCAGGACCCAACCGGCCCACCACAGGGCACCAGCACACACUGAAUCCUGCAGACUCCAACCCUGGUUCCAAAAAUUUGGCUCAUCCUUGCUUCUUUAAGACUGAGGUGUCAGAUGUUGUGAGAGGAGAUAAAGUGAGACUUCCAAGGUGCGUCCCAGUGGCCGCUACGAUCCGGCACCAUGCUCCCGCAUACUCACACACCCCCCGGGCUUCCAACAGCUGACAGCUGUGGAGGAUUCGCCUCUUUAGAUUUCAGAAUUACUCACGCUCCAGCUACCACAGACGCUUUGUUCCCCGGCCAGGAAAUUGCCGAGGACAACCAUGGGGCAAAGAUCUGCAAGAGUGACGGAGGUUCGACCGUGACCUCGACUAAUUAGCAUCAGAUGCCCGACCUGCGACGGCUAACCCAUGCAGAAGCGAUCGCACAAAAUCCUGGAAUAACCAAUAACACUUGGGAUGUUCAAAGCUGACCCAUGCAGAGAUCAUUUAACAGCACAGG